AGAUAAGGGGUAUUACUAUAGAUGAUACAGAAUUUGUACUUUCUCAAUAUGCAGAUGAUACAUCAUUGAUAUUAGAUGGCUCGCCAGAAUCGCUCGAUGCAUCUUUUCGUUUUCUCCAAUAGUAUGCUGAAAUCUUGGGACUUUAGAUUAAUAUAGAAAAAGCAAGUGUUAUUUGGAUAGGUAGCAAAAACAUAGCCAGGAUCGAAUUUGUGUAAAGUGGGGAUUGAAAUGGGGC
rnacentral:lncRNA from 1 species